AAAAGGACUGGUUCUUUUCUGAAAUAGGAAGCAACAAGUUAAUAGAGGGGAUGACAUGGAGGCUUUGAAGACCGUGCCUGCCAUUCAUGGGGAAGUUGGACACUGACAGCUUUGGGGAUGAUGCAAUGAUGGAAUCACCCACGUGUGGAGCAGACAGGGCGUGGCUUAUAUGUGGAGGGAAAUCUUUCCAGAGUGGGCUCCUCAGGGCUGGGGAGCUAAGAGAAGAUGGGGUGAGCAGAGAAAGUUGGAUAGUCAGUCACCCAAGGCAGAACCUGAGGUUUCUGCACAUCAUUUUGACAGUGAUCACGUGGAAGAAGCCUCAGAUGCCCUUGGUCCGGAGGAAGUACGCACGAGCUCUGCAACCAGGAAAGCAGCCUCUGUGUCCCCAAGAAGGUGACAUGGGAUGGAAGGUCUGGCCCAGUUAAGCACUAACUUCAAAAAGAUCGUGCCUGUCAGUUCUGAGACUCAUUUUGAAUAGUGGUCAUGACCUCUCUUCUGUUCUGAGGUUUAUGUCCAAUAAAGCUGUGUGUGUGUGUGUGUGUGUGUGUGUGUGUGUGUGUGUGUGUGUUUGCGUGCACUUGCAGGGGGCUUCCCCUUAUGAAAGGAUUCGAGAACCAACCACCUACGUCAAGAUAAGCCAGCCCAGGGUGAGGUCUCACUGCCGCACUGGUACACACUUUCUAGGAUGAUGCAGCGUUCCAGUUUGCACUUUAAAGUUCUCCAUUGGUUGAAGGAGUUUCCAGGGUCUUCAAAGUGCUGUCAGUUCCCUCAAGGGAAUCUGCCGAGAGACGGCUUAAAGGCCAUGGGUGUAAUGGGUUUUGACAUCUUUCUGUGUUCCUCCUGUGGAACUCCAUAUGGUUAUAGAUUCUUUUUAAAGCAUUUUCCUUUUGAACUCAGCAACCGGAUCCUAGAGAUUAUAUGAAGGAAAAAAAAGAUGGGAACAUGUAAUAAAAAAGAAAGAGCAAAGUGGUCGAUCUGGCAUUAUCAAAUAUUAUGAUAUACAGCCACGGCCAUAAUAAGAAGUUAAUAUUAUGUGGGAUUAGCUGGUGCACGCAGUGUGAGCCAAGGAACACACCUCACGUGACACAGUAGGGGGAUAAGUGGCAGUCAGCAUUUCAACAUGGGGAAGGAAGACACCUUCAUAGACAUAACUGGAAAAGAGGAUUUAGAUGCAAAGCUCACUUCAUCUAUUAAAAUUACAGAUGGGUUUAUUUAGAGAAAAAAAAGCAACACAGAAAAAAUCUGGUGAAAGCAGACUCUAGUCUUAAUAGAUCUACAGAGAAAUAAUACACUUCUUCUGACCUACAAAAUAAAAAAGCAUAGCAAAAAAGCACUACAAAGCUGACAACAUAGAGCAAGUUAAAACUUCUGUGCAGCAAUAAUGACAAAAUUAAUGUCGAAAUAGGUGCAACGGAUUGGGAAGCAUUUAUGUAAGUGUGAAUAAAGAUGAAUACUAUAAUAUUUAGAAAGCCCAUUAUAGUUUAUAAUAGAUUCAUAAGGGAUUUCAGUAGCCAGUGUACACAAUAAAAAUGAAAAUGGUGGACACAUGCAUAGUCUUAAAUUUUUUUUUGAUGUUUAUUUAUUUUUGAGAGAAAGAGAAACAGAGGGCGAGG
ensembl:lncRNA